GUGUCAGCCGCCGCGGUAAUACAGAGGGUGCAAGCGUUAAUCGGAAUUACUGGGCGUAAAGCGUGCGUAGUCGGUUAUCUAAGUCGGAUGUGAAAUCCCCGGGCUCAACCUGGGAAUUGCAUUCGAUACUGGAUAGCUAGAGUUCGGCAGAGGGAAGCGGAAUUUCGGGUGUAGCGGUGAAAUGCGUAGAUAUCCGAAGGAACAUCAGUGGCGAAAGCGGCUUCCUGGACCAGAACUGACGAUCAGGCACGAAAGCGUGGGGAGCAAACAGGAUUAGAAACCCCUGUAGUCC
rnacentral:rRNA from 1 species